GUGAUGUCAUUAUGGGGUAUUGUGAUGUCAUUAUGAGGUAUUGUGAUGUCAUUAUGGGGUAUUGUGAUGUCAUUAUGAGGUAUUGUGAUGUCAUUAUGGGGUAUUGUGAUGUCAUUAUGAGGUAUUGUGAUGUCAUUAUGGGGUAUUGUGAUGUCAUUAUGAGGUAUUGUGAUGUCAUUAUGGGGUAUUGUGAUGUCAUUAUGAGGUAUUGUGAUGUCAUUAUGGGGUAUUGUGAUGUCAUUAUGAGGUAUUGUGAUGUCAUUAUGGGGUAUUGUGAUGUCAUUAUGAGGUAUUGUGAUGUCAUUAUGGGGUAUUGUGAUGUCAUUAUGAGGUAUUGUGAUGUCAUUAUGGGGUAUUGUGAUGUCAUUAUGAGGUAUUGUGAUGUCAUUAUGGGGUAUUGUGAUGUCAUUAUGAGGUAUUGUGAUGUCAUUAUGAGGUAUUGUGAUGUCAUUAUGAGGUAUUGUGAUGUCAUUAUGGGGUAUUGUGAUGUCAUUAUGGGGUAUUGUGAUGUCAUUAUGGGGUAUU